CGCCUGGCGGUCUUCCGGGCGGGUCUCUGCGCCGGGAGGCGCCGAAUAGGCGGGGCUUAGAUGCCGCGGGGCCGAGCUUUGGGCCACGCCCUCAGGGGCUACCCAAGCCCGGGAGGCGCAGUCCUGGCGUCCCGGGGGGACGGGGAACGAGGCGAGGGCCCGGAGACCUCUGCCACCUGGCCCGGCCGUAGUCUCAGAGUUCCUGCUCCUCACAGGAGCUAGUUAUUUAUGACAGCUGCAUGGUGCCCCUCCCUCAGGACUCAGUGCUUAGCACCCAGCACCCCUUACUCAGUCCUCAGUACCACACUCAGCCUCAGAGGACCUGGGCAGAGGGAAACAGGGAGUACCCCACCGAAACUCUCGCUCUGCCAAAAAUGUUUGGAGCCCUAGAGAACCUGGAUAAUUUCUGCAUGAAUUCUCCAAAUCAGAGGGCAAGCACAUUAGAUUUAAAGUGUAUGGCGUUUGUUUAAUCAGGGAUUCCAGAAAGUGAAGGCAUGCAGUAUUUCUCGUCUUUGGAAUGCCACCCUCCAACCAUCUAGACCUUUUAAUUUUCUUCGAUGCAGUCACCCCUGGAGGUUUACCCACCCCUGGUGGUUGUAACACCCAGGGUAGCAGACUUCAAGAAUGGCCACGCAUUCACCACUCCCUAUACGCUUGCCCCUCUGCUGUGUGGCUUUGUCCUUCUUCCCAGCAAGAAAUGGACUCUGCUUUCCAGUCCUAGAAUCAGCCUGGCUGGGUGACCUGCUCUGGCCAGUGGGACAUUAGAAAAUACAAAGCUAUAGGAAAGUGCUUGUGCAUUAGAAUUUGCCCUUUCUUACGGCCCCUAGGAACCCUCAACGGCCAUGGGCCACAGCAUCAUAAGUCCCAGGCAGCCCAGCCGAAGACAGGUGACCUGGUCACCUCCAUCACCCCUGCUAACACCCUCUUUUCCACAUCCCUAAACACAGUUCUCCUGUAAGACCACAUGGGCCAUUGUAAGCUUUGUCUUUUGCUCCGGGAGAGGUGAGAAGCCGCUGUGGCUUACUAACAGGUGUGAUGUGAUCUGUCUGCUGCUGAGGGCCUGGACAGCAAUUGAGGAAGACUUGUGGCAGGAAUUCAGAGCCCAGUGACCUGGACCAGGGCAGAGGCAGCAGAGCAGGGGAGAAGUGGUUGGAUUCUGAAUGCGUUUUGAAAGGAGGAUUUCCUGUCACAUGGGGAAUGUGAUCAGAAAAGGGGCAAGAUGGGGAGAACUCUGAGGUAUCUGGCCUUAGCAGCCAGGACAGCUGCAUCACCGAAGACAGGGAAGGCUUCAGUUAGAACAAGUUUUGGGGAAAAGACACGCAGUUCUUAAAAUGUGAUGAUGACACCUCCUGGCCACCAACAUAUGCUCUAUGGAUAUGAAGUUUCAUUUCAUAUCAGAAGAAUAUGGCUGGCAAUAAACAUUUUAAAAGAUGUUUUAUCUCAUUAAUACCCAGGGCAUGAAAACGAACCUAAAUGAAGUACCUAUUCAUUGGGUGGGCAACAUUUUUUUAAUUUGACAAUAUUGAAUGCCGCAAGAAUGUGGAACAAUAGAAAUUCUAUGCCACUGGAGGUAGCGUGAACCAACAUAAUAUCUCUUUAAGUAAUUCAGCAUUAUCCCAUAAAGCUGAAGAUAAGCAAUGAGCAGUUGCAGUCCUGCCCAUGUAUCCUAGAAAAGCUCUUGAGCAUGUACACCGAGAGAUGUGAGCGAGAAUCCCCACAGCUGCACCACUUGAAGGAGCAGACGUCUGCAAAUAGCCCAGCUGUCUGUCCACAGUGGAACUGGUAAAUAAACCAAUUCGUUCAUGCAAUAGAAUGCGAUUCUGGAAAACUAGUGAAUAGUAGCUGCAACCAGCAAUACAGAUGAAUCUAAGACAGUGUCGAGCAAAAGAAAACAUCAGAAGACACAGUGACUUCAUUCAGGUUCCAGGAAUGGUGCAUUAAGGCUCUCCAGAGGAACAGAACUAAUUAGGGGGUGCAAGUGUAGAAAGAGAGUGGGAGAGAGAUGUAUUAUGAAGAAUUGGCCCACAUGAUUCUGGAGGCUGAGAAGUCCGAAGAUUUGCAGAUGGCAAGCUGGAGACCACAGUUUAAGUUCCCAUUUGAAAGCCGGCAGCCUCAAGACCAAGAAGAGCUGAUACUUGAGUCUGAGGCCAAAGGCAAGAAAAGACCAACGUGUCAGCUGAAGCAGGAGGAGUUCCCCCUUACUCAAGGGAGGGUCAGUCUCUUUGUGCUGCUGCGGACUUGAGUGGAUUGGAUCAUGCCCACCCACAUUGGGAGGGCCAUCUGCUUUGCUCAGUCUACCAAUUCAAACAUUAAUCUCAUCCAGAAGCACCUUCACAGACAUACCCAGAAUAUUGUUUGACCAGCUAUCUGGACAUCCAUGGUCAGUCAAGUUGACACAUAACAUUAACCAUCACAGUUGGGACCCCUGUUUUUAUUCUACUCUUCUUAAUAGACAUGGAGAGGAAUUGGCCUCUUGGGCUUCUAACUCAUCGGCUGUUGCCCGUAGGAGCUGCUGCCUACUCAUCACCACUCAGCAUACUGCAUUACGCUUUCCAGGCAGUUACACCACGUACUUCUUAGGCUUGAGCAAACUAAGGGAUGGUUUGGCACAUUUUCUAAAGGUAAUAUCAUAAAUAAACAUGGAUUCCAAUCUUUUUUUUUUUUUUUUUUGAGAUGGAGUCUCUAUCACCCAGGCUGGAGUAUAGUGGGGCAGUUUCAGCUCACUGCAACCUCCACCUCCUGGGUUCAAGCAAUUCUCCUGCCUCAGCCUCCCAAGUAGCUAGGAUUACAGGCGUGCACCACCAAGCCCGGCUCAUUUUUGUGUUUUUAGUUGAGACAGGGUUUCACCAUGGUGGCCAGGCUGGUAUUGAACUCCUAACCUCAGGUGAUCCACCUGCCUUGGUCUCCCAAAGUGCUGGGAUUACAGGCAUGAGCCACCGUGCCCGGCCUUGAUUCUAAUCAUUUGUAUUGGCUCAUCAUACCUCACCUUCCGUCAUACAUCAUCUUCCUAAGCUUUAUUUACCUAUCCUGACUCUUUUUCUUCCAACUUCAACACACAUAAUUUAGGAGGGAAAUGAGUCAAAAUAGGGCAGGGCAGGAGAAGGAACAAGCCAUCAAGUGAACCUCUUUGUGCCACAGAAGGAGCAAGAAUGUCUUUGGACCAGUCAGGAAUCACAGAUGUGUGAUACCUAAAGGACACUGGGCAUCUCCUAUCCUUUUGCAACCAAGUCGCAGAGAAAUUUAGAGACUUUCCUAAAGAGACACACAUUAGUGACUAGGGUAACCCAGACUUGGUGACUUUCAGCCCGUCAUCCUUCCCAUCAUUUCCCAUUCCUACUAGAGGAGAACUUAGUGCCUUCCCACCUCUGAGCCCAUUCCUUCUACCAAGUCUCCUCACUGUCCUGUCUUCACUCCAGUGGGGACUCAUCCACACAGCGUCACAAUUGCACUUUGUUGGAAGGAAACAGCUUGAAAUGCAAAUUCCAUGUGUUACACUCCUGUUUAGUGUCAUGCCUGCUUUCAUUUCUCAAUUUUUGUUUUACCACCAUUUUUAAGGCCAUUCUGCCUUUCAAGCUUGUAUCUUUUACUUAAAAUGACAAAUAUUUCUGAGCACGUAGUAUUUGCCAGGCACUGUUCUUUUCUUUAAUUUUUAAAAAAUAUUUUGCGUAGACAUGAUUUCGCCAUGUUUCCCAGGCUGGUCUUGAACUCCUGGGCUCAAGCAAUCCUCCUGCCUUAACCUCCCAAAGUUCUGGAAUUCUAGGUGUGAGCCACCGCACCUGGCCUUUUUCUUUUCUUUUCUUUCUUUUUUUUUUUUUUUUUUUUGAGACAAAGUCUUGCUCUCUUGCUCAGGCUGAAGUGCAGUGAUGCAAUUAUAGCUCAUUACAACCUUGAACUCCUGGCUCAAGCAAUCCUCCCAGCAGGCACUGUUCUAAUUGCCUUACGUGUAUCAUCCAAUUUCACAUUUACCAUCAUUCCAUAUGUAAUUACUGAUUAUGCCCACAUUACAGUUUAGAAAAUUCAAGGACAGAGAGGUAGUAAUUUCCUUAAGGUCACACAGCAAGUAGAUGAAAGAACUAGAAUUGAAACCCAGGCUGUCUAUUUCAACACUUCUAACCACUAUGGUACAUAGCCUCUUAACACGUAGUGUUCCCUGAGUUAAGGACAGUAAAGCAACAGAGAUUAUGAGCUAACUCAUCGCUCAUCUUCUUGCUGUACACUACACGUGUAACCACCUCAUUUUUACCGAGGAUUUGAGGCACGUGGGUGCAAAUGAAGCAAGUGGGUGCAAAUGAUGGAGUCCCUGCUUCAUCAGAUGGGGAUUCCCUUGACACACAAAGUGGCUUCCGGUAUAGUUCAGCCAAAAAGAACUACAUCGUCCACAUACAAAGUUCUCUGAGGAUCCAGCAUAAUCCAAAUAUAAAACCUAGACUCCCUAAAUAAAUGAAUGGACUUUCAGAAUUUGGUAAGUGGUAACCAGUCAGUGCCAUGCUAGAGACCGCUUGUACUGCCCUGUGAGAAAUGCUCAUUAAUUUUUAGGAAUUUUGCAAGCCAGUUGUUAAAUAUAACCAUUUUUCUUUAUUUUUGAGAUGCAGUCUCGCACUGUUGACCAAGCUGGAGUGCAAUGGCAUGGUCUUGGCUCAUUGUAACCUCCGCCUCCCAGGUUCAAGUGAUUCUCCUGCCUCAGCUCUCUUAGUAGCUGGGAUUACGGGCACACACCACCAUGCCCAGCUGAUUUUUGUAUUUUUAAUAGAAAUGGGGUUUCACCAUGUUGGCCAGUCUGGUCUUGAACUCCUGACCUCAGGUGAUCCACCUGCCUUGGCCUCCCAAAUUGCUGGGAUUACAAGCAUAAGCCACUGCACCCAGCCAA